rnacentral:lncRNA from 1 species
UCUACGACAUUUCCUUAAUUGACGGGUUUAACAUCCCCAUGGUGUUUGGUCCAACUAAUGGCGGUUGUCACAACAUUCGGUGCACAGCAGACCUCAAGGGACAAUGCCCGAAUGAGUUAAGGGCUCCUGGUGGGUGCAAUAACCCAUGCACAGUGUUCAAAACCAAUGAGUAUUGUUGCACUCAAGGGUACGGAACCUGUGGUCCGACCUAUUUCUCAAGGUUUUUCAAGGACCGGUGCCAUGAUUCAUACAGUUAUCCUCAGGAUGAUCCUUCAAGCACCUUUACUUGCCCCGCUGGUUCCAAUUACAGGGUUGUGUUUUGCCCUAGAGGCUCACCCCGCAUAGAGAUGGUCGGAAGCAAGAACCAAGAAAAGUAAAGGGAUGAUCUCUUGGAGUAGUUGAUUUGCAUUUGGGAAUAAAAAAUAAAGAUCAUUUGGUCUUUCGAAAUGAUACUGAACCUAUGGAUGUAUCUGUUUUAUUUUGCAUAUGUUUUGUUUAAUGGAAGAGCAAAAACAAAUAAAUACUAUUUUUUUUGGUGAAUUAUAAUAAUAAGACAAAUUCUGGAUAAUAAACUAUUAUUCAGAUUCAAAUUUAGAUCACAUUUUGGAUGAUGAAUGGCCCAUCACAUGGUUCAAACUGCUUGUAAGUAGAAUGAGACAUUCUGUGGUAGAAACCAACUAAACUCAAGAACAUUACCUCAAAAACGAAUUUAAGGUAAUGUCAUUUUUUAAUGCUUUUAGACUUUCCUCGUCAACUUGAAUUCCUGCUGAACUUAUUAUAAAACCCCAAAAAGAAAAUCUUAUCCAUGCAAUUACCAAAAAGUUGUUCAUGUCCUUCUUUGGUGCGUCGAUGAUCUGGCAAAACCAGGUAAACCUACCUGAUGAAAACCAAUACCAUAACAUCAUUGACCACCUUCAAGACCACCACCGUCCCCCCAGUUAUCUCAUCACUCUCGGUUCGCUCCCUCGAUCGAAACAACGCCUCCAACUACACUCUAUCACAACUCUCUCGCUUUUCAAGCCACACACAUCAUCUUCACCAUCCUUGCCAAAAACCGCCAUCUCCAACCUGAAACGAAUUGGGUGGAGCCAGCACUCAAAAACACCAUGAGCGAACGCACACGAAUCGUCUUUUUUUCAGUUCCCCUUGCGGAAGUCCGGGCAAGCGGAUUGAGAGUAACGGAACUUCCUCGAAUCCCUCCAUUGAGCCUUCUCGCUCGGGUGGGCGUACGGGCACUCGGUCAGUCAUGUGACCUUCCACGCGCACACCUCUUCACCUUGAACUCAUACAUACGAAAAUGGUCGCAUGAGAAUGCAUCGACGAUGGGUACGUCAGAGUCGUCACAAAGGGUGUCGGGCUCGAGAUCGUUCAACGAGAGGUAGCGAAGAUGGGCCAUAAGGUAGUCAACGGGACGGGCUGCAAGGUGCAUUGCAGUUAAAGUCGAGGGUUGAAAAGUUAUCCGCCUGAUCGUUUAACAAUUCCUAGUCGGGGAUUUUGACGGUGGGGAAGGGUCGUGUAGUGAGUUUUUUUAUCAUCAUAUUUUGGAUAUUGUCAGUUCUGCUAUUCUAACUAGGAUAAUGAAGAUGAAUGUGCUUGGUUUCGGGUUGUAGAUGGUGAAGAUGAUGCGUGGGGCUUGACAACAGAGAGGGUUGUGACAGAGUGUAGUUGAAGGCUUGGUUUCAAUCGAAAGAGCGAGUCCGGAGUGAUGAGAUUACUAGGGGGACGGUGGUGAUCCUGAGGGUGAUUAAUGGUGUCAUGGUAUUGGUUUUUAGUAGGUAGGUUGACUUGGUUUUGCCAGAUCAUCGGCACACCAAUUAAGGAGAAGAAAGAAAGAAAUAAUAAAGAAUGAAAGAAAAGGAAAAACAGACAGAAAAGAUAAUAAUAAAAGAAAUAUAAUAAUAUGGUGGGAUCUACUAACGAAAAUUAAUCUCAUGUCACUGUGCCGUUUGAUACUUAAUCGCACGGUGGCUAUGAAAACAAUUUCUUAAAAUUUAGGGUGAGUUUAGAUAAGCGGUGCGUUUACUUGCGGUUAGUGUAAAAAUAGCGGUGGCGGUAAGAUUAGAUACUGUAGCAAUACUGUAGUGUGAGACAAAAAGUAAACUAAACACACCGUACCGCAUCGCAUCCAAUUGUUCAUCCAAACUCGCCCUUAAUAAUGAGUUGGAUGAUUAAAGAAGCAUUAAAAAUUUAGUUACUAAUUAGAUAAUUUAUUCAAAUAAUAAUAUGUGAAUAUUUUAAUAUAUUGUAUUAAAACAGUUAUAUUUUUAAAGGGAAAUAUAAAUUCAAAUUUUAUGAACUACGAUAUGAUAAAUACGUAAAAUCGGUUAUGUUAAAAAAAUAUAGUAUUCUGCAACGUACGUAGACUGAGUAGCUAAGUGGAAAGAAAGUCAAAUGGUAGAUAUUAAAAUAAGGAAUAUCUUAUGGUUCUCCCAAAAUCCAAAUACGCUUGGCCUUAUCUUCAUUAUGAUUUGAAAGUGUUCGAUUAGCCGCCUCUACCUUUAUUAAAACAAUAUUAUGGCACUUGCCCAUGAUAUCUAUGGUACCAAAAAGCCGCCUUACUUGUAUAUAAACCCUCAGCUCCUAUGAACAAAUCCCAAAGUAAGAGCUAACCAUGAGCUACUUAACCAUUUCCCAAAUCUCCUCCCUCCUCUUCUUUAGCGUCCUUUUCAUUUCCGCUCAUGCAGCGCGCUUUGAAAUCCGCAAUGAGUGCUCCUACACCGUCUGGGCAGCAGCCUCUCCUGGUGGUGGUCGUCGCCUAGACCCUCGGCAAAGUUGGACCAUCGAUGUGCCUGCUGGCACUGCUAUGGCUCGUAUUUGGGGUCGAACCAAUUGCAAUUUCGAUGCCAGUGGUAGGGGUCAUUGCCAAACCGGUGAUUGUGGUGGACUCCUUCAAUGCAAAGGUUGGGGUGUACCUCCAAACACCCUGGCUGAAUAUGCACUUAACCAAUUUGGAAACAUGGAUUUCUACGACAUUUCCUUAGUUGAUGGGUUUAACAUCCCCAUGGUGUUUGGUCCAACUAAUGGCGGUUGUCACAACAUUCGGUGCACUGCAGACAUCAACGGACAAUGCCCGAAUGAGUUAAGAGCUCCCGGUGGGUGCAAUAACCCAUGCACGGUAUUUAAGACCAAUGAAUAUUGUUGCACUCAAGGGUACGGAACCUGUGGUCCGACCCGUUAUUCAAGGUUUUUCAAGGACCGGUGCGGUGAUUCAUACAGUUAUCCUCAAGAUGAUCCUUCGAGCACCUUUACUUGCCCUGCUGGUUCCAAUUACAGGGUCGUGUUUUGCCCCAGAGGCUCACCUCAUAUAGAGAUGGUCGGAAGUAAGAGCCAAGAAAAAUAAAGGGAUCAUCUCUUGGUCUAGUUAAUCUGCGCCUUGGAACCAAAAAAUAAAAAAAGUCAUUUGGUCUUCCCAAAUGAUAUCAAACAUGUGGUUCUAUACUUGGUUUAUUUUACUUAUGUUUUGUUUAAUAAUAUUGUGCACUUUCAACAGCACAAGACGUCACAAGUUGCUAUCAUCUUUCAUCAAAAUUUCCAACUCAUAAAUACCCAUAUAAAAAAGUUAUAUGAACUUAUAUUAUUUCUUUUAUGGGAUAAAUUAUGAUUGUUUAAUAUUUUUAUCAUAUUAAUUUAAAAUAUUAUCUUUAUUAAUAUAUAUUUACUAAUUUACAAGUUUUUUACAUAAAAUAAAUAGUUGUACAUUUUUUAUUUUAUUCCAAAUCUAUAUAUUAAAACAUUAAAUAUGGCAAUCAAAUUAUUAAAAUAUUAAUAAAAAAUGUAUUAUAUAUAUAUAAAUCCAUUAAUGUAGGUUAUGGAAAUGUCUACUUCAAUUUUACACUAAUUGACCUUAGGUAAAUAGUAAGUUGAGGUCCUAAGAAAAUUGAGAUUUUAUGUUUUUGUCUCACCCUAGAUAAAUAUGUAGGUUUUUUUUUUCAAAUUUAUCAUGGUUAUAAUUAGAGUUUAAUGAAUUCUUGAUUUAAUUAUUCAAUUUAGUACUUAUAAUAUUUAAAAUUGAAUUAAAUGGUUGAUUUAAAAUUCGAUCGAGAUAUUUAUUUAGAAUAAGGGAUCAGAUUGAUUGACUCGUAAAUCGAUUAAAUUGAUCGAUCGGACUAACUAAACUGGAUAUAUCUUGUUUAUAAUGAUUGAUUAGUUUUGUUUGAUUGUUUUUUAGAAAAUGAUGGAUUAGUUGUUACUUCAAAGUAAAAUUUAUGAUUAGAUGCAAAUUUAUGACAGCAAAGCCAAAGUUGCCUUUGGUCGUCUUUCGAGAUAAGAGACCUGUCCUAAUCAAAACAACUUUUUUCUUUUUUCUUUAGAAUAAUCAAACCUACCUAACCUUUAAUCACGUGGUAUGAAGUUUUUAGACUUUUAUCACACAUCCGUAUUGCAAGUCUUAUCCUGUUUCGUUACUCAAAAGAAAUUGCAUCUCAACACUACUUCUUUGGAGCAGUACUUCUGUGGUAUCCUACAAUCUACGGGCAGCACUUAGAUUUAUUUAAAACUGACCUAAUUUAAGAAUGCUUCUAAAAAAUAUGUUUGAGAAAAAAAAUUCUGCGGAGAAAUUAAAAUUUUCAAAUCCUGAAAAAAUGUACUUUUAAAUUAAUUUUUAACUUGAAAGAAGUAUUUUUUCUCUAAAAAAAAUUAUUUUAAAAUAUUUUUAUCUCAAAAAAAUCUUUCCUACACUCGUCCUGAAACGAUAAUCACGACUUCAAUUUCCAAACGUACGUAUUCGGACUUUUCCACGCAUCUUUGCCAGCUGCCUAGUGCCUACCAAUACCAUUUAUAUUUCAAUCUUUGAAGUUUCGAUUAUUAAGAAAAUAACAGCUUACUGCCUUUACGAAAACCUUGUCAAGUGUACCAUCUUGCUUAAUCAAUUUUGACGUUACCUUAACACUAGACCUGUCCAUGGGCCGGGCGGCUCGGCCCAGCCCGACGGCCCACCCGAAAUAUGAGAGGGUUCGGGUAAAAAUAUAGGCCCGAAAUAUGGGCUUGGGCAAAAAAAAGGGGUCCGUUUAAAAACGGGCCGGGCCUCGGGCACCAUUUUUUUGGCCCGGCCCGAAUAUAAUAAAUAUAUAUUUUUAUUUUUUUAAUUUUAAAAUAAUUUUUUAAUGUUUAUUUUAAAAAUGGGCCGGGCCGGGCUCGGGCUUAUGAUAUUUUUCCCGGGCCGGGCCUGGGCAAAAUUUCAGGCCCAUAUUUCGGGCCGGGCCCGGGCCUAGGAGGCGGGCCAAAAAUUUCCCGGCCCAGCCCAGCCCAUGGACAGGUCUACUUAACACCCCCUCCCAAAAAUAUAUAUUUAUAUUAAUUUAUUAGUAAAUUUAUAUUUUAGUCACUCAACUUUGAAAAAUUACAAAAUGAUUAUUGAAUUACUCAUAAGUUUUCAUUUUAGUCAUUAGACUUUUCAAAAGUUUUUAUUUAAGUUACUAAAUUGUUAAGUUUUUUUAAGUAUGUCUAGCGAGCUCUAAGUGAUAAUUCGACAAUCGAUACAGUUGAUCAAUAACUAUCAACAAGUAGAACAUACCUUAGAUCUGAUAAGUGCUAAAAAUAACAUGUUUUAACAUCAUUCUUAACACGUUUUUAGGUGAUUAUUUGAUGUUAAUUAUGAAUUUUAUACUUCUAAUCAUUUAAUUUCAUGUUUUAAUACUUAAUAGAGCACUUGAGAGCAAAAGGAGCAAAAAUCAGAGCAUGGGAGCAAGUUGCAAGAGCCAUACGGGCUGAACCAUUCCACAUGGGCGUAUGAUAGGCCAUGUCGAUUUCAUGGGAUUAUGCACCGAACAACAGAAAGUCAUGAUUUUUAGGUUUUUAGGACAUCCUAAGACGUAUAUAUGACAAAAAUAAGGAGAUAUUCAAGAAAACAACUCAAAAAGAACAUUGAAGCCGACUUUGAAGCAGAUUUUCGUUAAGAUUGAAUAUUCCUAGUUGAUUUCGUAGAAAGUUAUCAUGAGUUUCUUUAUUUUUUUUGGUUAUAUUGUGUCUUGAAUGUUUUUAUUUUCAAGUGUGAACUAAUUUUCUAAUUAACUAGGGGAGAUGAACACUAGGAUAGAUUCUGUCGUUUGAUUUUUAUUUUACACAAUAAAUAUUUAGUUUCUUGUUCUCAAUUACGUGUGCUUAAUUCUUGGUGUGAUAUUUCUAAAUUAUUAAUCCAUAUUUGAUGUACUUAAAUCGGUGGUUGAAUAAACCCUAUUUAAGAGUAGAUCUUGUAUAAUUGAAUAGAGUUACAUACAAUUCUAGAAAUAGACAACAUAAAUCUACUAGAUUAGAGUAAAAUCUAAUAGGGAAUCAAUAGCAUAAGUUAAUGUGAUAAUAGAGGUUUUAAUUAAAAAAAUUUAAUUAAUCAACCUAAAAUCAGUUGCUCUUAUACUCGAAAGAGAUAUUUGCAUAGUUUAGAUUGAUAGUGACAGAUGAAAUCUAGGUGAAUUCUUUUCUGGAUAUUUUUUCGCUUAUUGGUUGUUAAUUACUUUUGUGAUUUAUUAUUGUCGUGUUUAUUAGUUAAUUUUAAUUUUUAAUUAAUCAAUCGAAUUAUUAGAUUAAAUAAUAAAAAGACGAUAAUUACCAGUACUUUUAAUUUUUGUGGGAAUGAUAUCUUUACUCACCAUAACUAUAUUAUUAAUUGAUAGGUGAAUUUACCUUAGUGCAUCAAGAUCCAAGUUAAUCUGAAGAUUAAUGUCAAAGAUUGGAGAAGAAAGCUAUUUUAAUUUUGAUUUGAAUAUUUGUGACAUCCAAAAUUAUUUUAUAAAAAAAUUUAACCAUAGAAAAGAAGAGGAAAGAGAACUUUAAUUGAUGCAACCGAUGUGGGAAAAAAACUAUUCAACUGCAUUUUUAUCAAUCCAAUUACUAUAAAUUUUUUUGAAUAAUUUAAUAACAAUUUUAUAAUUUUUUAAAUUAAAGUGGUCAAAAUAUAAAAACACUAAUAAUUUAAUAACCUUUAAGUAUAGUUUACCGUAGAGAAUAUAUAUAAAUGUUUAAGUAACAACACAAAAGAAGUCAGAUAUAUAUAUAUUUUAUUUUUUAAAAAAUAAAUUACUUAUAUAAUUAUAAUGAUAUAUUUUUAUUUUUUAAAUUAAGUCAGAUGUAACUUUGACUUGGGAACCAAAUUCAGUGGGAUCUGCAUAUUAAUAACAAAAUAGAUAUUAAUAAAGAGAUACCAGCCGGAGAAAAUUAAGAGCGGUAUAAAGCACAUGGGCACAUGGCUUAUGUAAAUGUCAACACCAACCUCUGACAGACCCAUUAUUAGAUCAGAUCCACUUGGAUUAUGCCAAUCUCAUGUGGGAUUACAAACAACAUUGAUAGGUUGCGUUUAAAGACAGCUAAGGAAAGUCUUCUUUCCAUAAAAAUAAUUGGUCGGAGAUUCUACUUUCCCAUUCCCCUUUAAGAAAUUCAUGGAUCCAACAUACAACGCAUAAUAAUGAACGGAUGAAGAUAUUAUGAACUCACUAUAAUUUUUCUAUAAGUUCCAUGUUACAUAAAUUUUGAAUGUAUUUGUAUUAUUUUCUAGUUAUAUAUAUUUUUUUAAUCAUUUGGAGUCUUUUACACACAAUGUCUACUUAUUACGUGCUGCUUAAUUUGAGCUCUUAAAUGGUAUAUUACAGCAAGCACAAAGUUUAUAUAAACAUUGCCGGUAAGUUAAUAUUUGGCUACUAUCAAAUUUUGACUCUCAGUAAGACAUUGACUUCCCAAAUGAUCCUGUGAGUACCUAUUAAGGUUGAUGAUGAUCUUAAGAGGAACAACGUAGCAACUCUCGUCUUAUAAAUUACAUUUUGAAGGAUUUACAACUGUACAGUUUAAAUCCUUGUUUAAGUUUCAGAUUAGGGUUAUCAAUUCUAUUAUCAAAUACUAUUAUCUCCCAAAGCUAAUGACUUUUUAAAAUUUUAAAGAUUCACUAUGACUAAUUAUAAGCAGAAAUUAACUUUUUGAUGCACAAAAUAAAGAAUCCAAUGGAUUGAGUGUUCAGUGCAAGUACAAAUGUGAGAAGAAAGUCGUACCAAGAGGGAAAAGAGGCAAGAGCUAGUCUCGUAUGUUCCUCGUACCAGUAUCCAGACAGUAACUGUUGUCUGUGUUCUUGGUCUGCAAUCUUCACCCUCAACCAUUUGCAUAAAUCUAGUUUGAUUACUGCUAUUUUCUGAUUCGAAUUCCAGGUAUAUCUUUCAAACCCAUUUUUAAAGCGGUCUUCCUGAAGAGAGAUGGAGGUCUUUGCAAGCCAAUUGAUUGGGAAAACUGGUUGGCCAGAUCAACAAGUGUAGUUUUAUCCCGCCCAAUUUCUCUGAUCGAGUUAUAAUAACCAAGCCAAGCAUGAUAUGCUGCUUCUUUGACAUUCCCAUCAAUCUUUGCCAUUGAAAACUCCAACUGCAACAACAUUCCAAUGCAUUACAAACUUUUUGUAACAGACACUAAUGAAAGAAUCAUUAGACACACACACAUCCCAUUUUUUUAAAUGAAAUUGAGAUAUCAAUGCAAUAUUCACCGAAACUGGUAGAUUAAAAAACCAAUAUAUUUUCAAAAACCAUGGCAUCAACCUAUAAAGAAAAUCCUUCUGAUAGAAGCAUGAAGAGUAAUACUUUAUGAGUUUAGAUGCAGACCUUCUGUUUGACAUCUGGAUCCAUAUCUGGUAAAGAGAUUUUCUCAAGAGGCAAGUCCUUAAUUUCAUCCAAGAAAUACUCUUCCCAUGGAGCUAUCAAUAAGAUACCUUCUCCAUCCUUGCCUUCCCGUCCUGUCCUUCCUAGUCGGUGUAUAUAUUGCUCUCGGUCAGAAGGAAUUCCCACCUGGUAGUAAUAAAAAAAUUUAUACAUAUCACUAUUAAAAAAAAUAGAGGGAUACAAAACAAGAUACAAGAUAUGUAUUUGACAACCAGCAAGUUUCUCAACUUUCAGCAGUUAUCAUAAACCAUAUAGGUAGCUCAACAGCUGCAAGAGAUCUUAUCGUUUGCAGGGUUUUUCAUCAUGGUUCAAUGUAUUAAACUAUUAAUGCAGGCACAUGUGCUGAACUGCUUAAUAAGCCAAUGACAUGCUUGAGUUUUAGGUUCAAAGGUACCUGAAUAACCAAAGUGACAUCAGGAUAAUCCAUUCCUCGUGCCGAAACAUCAGAUGUAACAAGAAUUAACCUCUUAGAGUCCCUGAAUUCAUCAGAGAUACGAGUUCGGUAAAUUUGAGGUUUUCUGGAAUGGAUCUCCCUGACAUUCAUUUUCAUUUCUCGAAGAAGCAAAUACAUCAGUGAUGUUACCAUCCCAGUUGUACAGAAAACAAUGACCUGAGUGCUAGAAUAGUUAGCUCUCAAGAAAUUUCUGCAAGUACCAAAAUCCAGAUGUAAAACAUUUUACCUUGUACUCGGGUGCUACAGAUAUAUGCUUCUUUAAAAGCUGGUGAACUAUCUGAAAAUGCAAUUCAUGUGGUGCAACAAGAAUAGAUUGCUUAACCUGCAGUCAAUAAGGAAAAUUCUGCAGAUAAGGUCACUGUUGCCUAUACAUUUAAUACAAAUUUUAACAUCCAUUUUAAUUUCACCACAGAGACUUCAAAAAUUUUCAUUUAAUAAAUGAAAUUGUUUGAAGUACUUAAAUUCUAAAUUCGUUGUUUACAAAGAAGCAUGAAGCUGAUUGUAUUUCCUUAAAGUAAAUGUGUGCAAUUAUUCCCAUUCAUACCUUGUCAUGAGUUUCUACACAGCCUAGACCCACUGUAUCAAUGAAAGCAUGUUCCCUCUUCAAAACAAGCUGAGAUAUACGACGAACCUGCAUAAUCAAGCACAAUUUAGAUCUGAGUUGAUUCAUAUAAGGAAAUCAGCCUUGUCUACAACAAAAAAUAAGGUUGAUGAGCAAUCCAACCUCUUUUGGAAUUGUUGCAGAAAACAACAAUGACUGCCUUUGACGGGGCAAACAAUCAACAAUUUUCUCAACAUCUUUCCGAAAUCCCAAGUCUAAUAAGUGGUCAGCUUCAUCAAGUAUAAGCAUUUUCAAUCCCAUCAAUCGCACAGACAAGGUAGACUUGUUCUCAACAUGAUCCAGCAAUCUCCCAGGUGUUGCAACAAUUAUCUGAGGAAAGUUUUAACCCGGAAAAUUGGAAAAGGCUUAUCUUCUAAUAUUAGGAUGCAGAAGAUUCUAGAAACAUUUACAAUGCUAAAAGAAUUGCCAAGCCUAAAACAUAGGCUAACCUGGCAUGGUUCUGAUUCGAGACGUUUCUGAUCAACUUUGAAACGCGUACCUCCAACUAGAGUCUGGACUCCUAUGCCAUUAUGAUACUUCAGCAGAGCAUUUGCUUCUGCAGCUAGCUGACUUGCAAGUUCUCUUGUGGGGCAAAGAAUGAGAACAAAAACCGGAGGCACCCGCUGAACGGUACUAGUACUAGCGGCCUUCAAAACUGUUUCAAUUGCAGGAAGCUGUUUGUCUUUAACAGAAGAAUUUGAAGGAGCAACAAUAAUCUACAAGAUCACGAAUUACAAAUAAGGACUGGUAGUGUACCAGAAAAGCUGCAGUCUUUCCUGUGCCAGUUUUAGCUUUGACCAAAGCAUCUUUGCCUGCUUCACAUUAGAAUGAGAAUUGUCAUUUAGAAUGUUUGACUAGUCUCAAACAAGUCAGAACAUGUUUAAAGAAAUACGAUAUGACUAGCAACAGAUUUAAAGAAAACAAUUUACUGGAACUAUAGGGAGAGCCCUACCCACACAGAGAACUUUUCUAUGCAAAGGAGAGUGACAUCUCAUGCAAGAAUAGAACAGUCUACCGAGGCAUAUAAGCAAUGGUGAUAACUUGUAAUGAUAAAUUUUUAUUUCCCUUAUCUUCAAAUUCCUAUGUUUUGUCUGCCUUCAGCAAAUGACAUUUAUGUAAUACCUAAUUUCACAUCUUCUACACACUAGUGACUCUAAUAUAUCAUGUCACACGUUGAGCUUCCAAAAUGUGAUAUGUUCUUGACAAUUUAGAAACUUCUACAUCAAUUUUACUAACCCAGCAGAUGUUACUAGUUGCAUUAAAGGCUACCAAGGCACAGAGAAUGAACAACUUACUAUAACUCUAUAACAAACGUAAAACUGAAAAGCAGAGCAAGCUUGUAAAGGAUUCAUGGAAUAACACAGUAAGUUCAAUGAAAAUGAUACAGAAUCACACAACAGCCAAAAUGCAAUAACACACCCUCAAGGCAAACAGAAAGUGUUGCCUCCUGUACUCGAGUCAUCAGAAAAUAUCCCGCUGCAGAAAGUGCCUUGACUGUCCAUGGGGAUAUACCACAUUCAUCAAAUCUGUAAAACCAAAAAAAAACAAAGAUUCACCUAUUUUCUAAUCACCAAAACAAACCAUAAAUACAUCUAUAGCUAAAGCAUUCCAACAUCUUAGCUUACCUUUUUUUACUAUAAAUUGGUUCUCCCUCCCCCAUUUUCUUUUCAAUUUCAGCCAACUUCUUCUUUUCCAACUCCUGCCUAAGCAACUGCACUUGCUCCGAAAAAUCCAUCUCCUUCUCUAGUUCCUUCAACGGAACUCUCCGUUUUAUCUUCACAUCAUACUUUCCCAACGAUGCACUACUCCCUGACUUCUUAACAUCCCUCCAACCCCCAACACCUUCCACUUCAUCUUCCAAUUCCAAAUCCGAUUCAUCAUCACUCGAUGAGCUCUCGUUCCUCCUAAACCUCAUCCUCUCCAUACGGUUCCUACUCUUUAUAAACUUCCCAUUAUUCUGAAAACUCACCUUCUCGCCUUUACCACCAGGCCCAAAACGCUUCAAUGAAUUAUUAUCCGACACGGAAUCAGAUUCAUGUUGAUUAGAAGAAGUCUCAUUCUUCCCAAGCCUCACCCGAGAUAUAUUAUUACGCCCUGAAUGCUUCAAAUACUCAUCCUUUGAACCGAAAUAUGACUGAAUCCCAGCAAAAGAACUCUCGUUUACCUUGAAUUUUCCGUUAGCCUGAACUGAAUAGCUCCUACUCUUAAUAAAUUGACUAUUAUUUACACCGCUUGGUUUCUCAUUUUCUCUUCGACUAUCAGAUAGCAGUUUCUUUAUAUUAAGCGGCGAAUGAAUUAAUCCUGACCGUGGAUUUCUAGCCGUUUCAACGGAUCGUGGCCGUUCUUGUUCCUCUGAGUUCAACGGACCGUCGUGUUCGUUCCACAAGUCCUCCGCCCCUUCUUUCAUGAACCGAUCAGCCAGGGCUUUGAUGUGGUCGUUGGGGCUCAUGGGGCUAUAUUGUGUUGGAUCGCAACUCGGGUCGGGUCUCCCGGCUAGUUUGGCGCGGAUUUGGGAUCGGAUUCUGGCUUGGUAAAGUUGCUUCUCUUGGUCGAGGAGUCUUUUCUCUUUCUCCUUGGCUUUUUUCUCGUGGAGGCGCUUCCAUUGCCACUUGUUCAAGCCGCCGGGGAAGGUCCGAGGACCGCCUCCCAUGGCUCGGGUGAAAAUUUGAGUUCGGAGAAUCGAAUGGGUUUUGGAGCGUAGGAGGAGCACCGCUGAGAACAUGGCUGGGGUUUGGGGUUUAAGACAGAACUUGGAAUUUUGGUUUUAAAUAUUGGUUCAUUUCAAUAUCUUGCAUGAGGAAACGACGACGUUUGCUGUUUAACGUAAACCCAAAUGGAAAUUGCUUAAAAGAAUUUGUGGACCAUGUAAUGUCACCCAUCGAUCAUUUAUUUCUGAUAAUUUUAAAUGAGUUAAACAUACUCCUCCCUCAAUCACUAAUGAAAUUCAUCAUUCACUAUAAUAAAAGAGUACAAACAAAAAAAUAAAUAAUGUCAAGUUGUAUCUUACGUGAUUUGUAAGCUUAUUUGUGGCUGGUUGUCAGCCUAGCCCCCCUAACGGAUCUCAUAUAAAAGAAAAUGUUUACCACAAUAUACUAAAAUUUAACUUGCAAAGUCUUUAAGAAAAACUAUAUAAACAUUAGAAGUGGCAGUUUACAGUGAUAAAUUCGAUCAUUAAUCCAAUGUUUAUGAAACAUAUAAAAUUCUUUUGAAAGGAAGAUACACUGCUUAUAUAUUUUGUGAUGCAACAUGAUUAUAAUAGUUGCCAUUGUAAGUGGGGUGCACAAGAGAAGAGAAUCCAAUCCCCCCAACACUAAGUCUCCCCAUGGUUUCAGACUUUCACUUCGCUCUCUUUAUCACCCUUUGAAAGCGACUUUCGGGAUCAAAGGAGUUCCAAAUUCGGUCAAGAAUAUCCUGAUAAGAUGAAAAAGAACCCUACACCACUCUAUUUGUGCAUGAUUGUAUUGUGGAUUUAAUCUCUUCCUUAUCCAAUGUCGUUUCAACAAUCACCUGCCAAAAAUACAAGAUUUGUCAUCCAUGUCUGCCUUGUUUACUGCAUUUCAGACAUGAUAAUAAGGUUGUAUAUAGGUUGUCUUAAGAUAAUAGACAUCUAAUGAAAUGGGAGGAAAAAAUUCACAGAAGAUCCUCAAAAGCCUUUUUACAUUCAUAUUUCCUUUUUGGAAAUCCUUUUUUUUCCCCUUAUCCCAGUGUAAGUGCGUCGUAAAAAAUGAGGGUGUGAGCAUGUGACAGAACUGUAAUAUCAACCUUACCUCUUGUACUUUGUUUCCGGAUCGAGCAAGUAACUUGUAUUGAUUCUCAAACAUGGAUGCCAUAUAAACCUGCACCAAAAGAUAGAUCAGAAAGCAGAUAAUUCUCAAAUCAAAUCCGAAUAAAAAAAGAAACUGACCAAUUUCUUAAAUACUUGUAAGAAAAGUUUCAAGUAAAUAGUUUCAUUUCCAUAACCUAACCAAUUGAGGAUUAUAUUAUGAAGUGCAUACGCCUAGAUUUGAAAUAUAGCAAAACUUUUGGCACCUAAAAGAUGGCACAGUCAUGUAUGAGAUUUUUUCUAACAGUUCUAUUCAAUUUUCACCAACUUUAGCCUACCGCAUGUAGUUGAUAUGUUGAAGCUAUCAUACCUGGAAUGUUGGCGCCAAACCAGGGCUCAAGAAAAAUCGGCCCUUUGAAACUGACUGAAUUCCUUCAAUCUGUUCCAAUUCUUUGAUAAGUGAUUCCACAUCAGGCCACUGUCAACAUUUAACAUCAGUGUGUGAGGAUAAACCAUGCCAAAUGCGAGUACAAAAAUGACAACAUAGAAGAUAAGAAACAUUUGUCACAGGGUCUAAACAAAAACCUCAGUGUCUGCUUGUGCUGCUUGUAAUCUUCCAUCUAAGUUAUCAUGAUCACCAACCACAGACUCCAAGGCCUCAACCAGUGGAUCUGGCUGUCGUGUGAAAAGAGAAAAAAGAGGAUCACAACAUAUUGAAAAUCAUGGCCUAAAACAACUGAGAAAAUUUUAAAAUUCAAGAACCGAGUUGCUUGUUGAUUACCGUUAUCUCCUUCAAUGAUAAAAAUAUACGGUCAAGUGUGAAAUCCAAUUGGUGGACUUUGGCCUCGACAAUCUGAAAUCAUGAAGAUCACUUGAAAAUUAUAUUCAUGGCCUACAAAUAAAUAGCUUCAUGGAGUUUCAGAUAAACAAAGCAUCAUGAUGAAACACAAGUAAAAGCAAGACAUGAAAGAUCAUAAGGCUUUUAACCCUUCCAGGUCCUGCUUAUUUAUCAUUCAUUCCCUAAAAAAAUAGGACUAAUCUGCCAGUAAACUCAAAUACCUGACCAAUUUUGAAAUGUGACAAAGGAUCCAAGGUGGCAUCCCAUGAUACUUCCGUCUGGUGAAUCAAAGCAGGCACGCCUUCAACCUAUAAAGUACAACUAAAUCACAAUUUGAAAGGGGGGGGGGGGGGGAGAAUACAAUGAUUUCUAGUCUAACUGGCAUGGAUGUUGUGGCUUCAUGCUAAGGAAGUGUAUGUUCAAAGGAAAAACCAACAGAAAGGAGCAAAUAACCGCCACUUCUCUUCUGAAAGAGCAUUUAGUAUACUAAUUGUUAAUAUAUUGUAACAAUGCUGAGAAAUUGUUUACCUCCACAAAUAUACCAAAAUAAGUUAUUUUCUUGAUGCAGCAUUUUAUAACAUCCCCAACACGAAGCUUGGCCUGCAACAAAAAAUGGCAUAAGAGCUUGAAGAGUUUCUUGUUUUGUCAAGUUAAGCACAGUCAAGAUUUUAGUUUGCCAACACUAGUUCAAGUUCUCAUCUAUAUGAAAAGACAAACGAUUUAAAUAUAAUUUUCUGGAAAGUAUUACUGCAGAAAGUGACAACACUCGCAGAAAUUUAUUACAAAACAUAGAAGAUGAGCAACAUAAGUAAAGUAUUUAAGGAAAUAUUUUAAAACAAUAUAGCUACUCACCAUAACAUUUCUCUUUUUCUCUAUUAACUCUUCCUUUUCUUUUGGCCUCAGAGAAACUAUAAGUUUUCUGAACUUUCUGUCAGCCAUUAGCACAUUUACUUUGACUCUCUGUAAAUGUUAAGCAUAUCAGUAUACAAAAUGGAAAUAAAGACAACAAUUUAAAAAAUAUAUAUCAAUAUCUUCGAACCUGACCAACAAAUGAGGUCAAGAAUUUAAGCUUCUCUUGAUCAUAAAUCCUCAAAAGAUCUUCCAAUUUCAUAUCCGGUGAAAAUUUCCCCUCAAACUGUUGGUUGUUUUCUGAAUCUGAGGUUGAAUCUAGAGAAGAGUUUUUGCUCAUUGCAUCAGAACUUCCAAUGACUCCUAAGUUCUGCUUAUAAGCAGAUGGGUCUAAACCCCUCUGUCUCAACCAUGAUUCGAAAGCUAAGAACUUCCAUUUAGCAGCCAGGUUUCGGUAAGGCAAAAAUCCAAUUAAAGAACCAAAAGAUACCUAUAAUGAUGCAAUAAAAUCACAAGUCACAAACAAAGUGCAUGUUUAGCAAAUAGACAUGAUAGAAGGAAGAGUUUCACUUACAGCAAAACCUCUCGUACUAGAGCUUAUUAACUCCACUUCUGCCUUUCGUCCGGUCUUAAGCAAAUCUUCUAACCUGUUCCAAUCACUAUCCUACAAUUGUACAAGAUGUCAGGAAUGAUCAGACAUCUAAAGUGAUGCUACAGAAACGUGGAGUAAUAACUUAGGGAGAAAACACUACGGUAAGCUGACCUCCUGGGGUGAUACAGAAGGGAGAUCACCAUAAUCUUCAAGAUUGGUGGGAACAGGAGCAGUUUCUGCUUUACCGGAUUCUGAUGUUUCUUUCACGGUUUGAUCUAAUCUAUAAGAAAGGUAUUUGUUAAUCACAACUCCACCAGCUAAAGAAGAAAUGUCCCAACAUUAAGAAUAAAUUUGGCACCUUCUUGGCUUCCCCUGUAGUGCAGCUUCCAUAGAGAGACUGAUGCCAGAUUCCUCAGUAGACACCCUAUUACUUCGCUCAGCUGACUGCAUUCCUUGAAAAACGCAGAAAAACACAAUCUUCAAUGCUUCACAUUAAAGGGUUUCUAAUCUCCUAGAUAAGGGGUAGUUAAGAAUCCACCAAAGUAAAACUUGACACUGAAAAAAAAAAGGAACUUCAUGAACUAACAUGGUGCAUUACCAAUUAAGGAGUGAUCCUCUAUCUCUGGUUUCUUGGGGAUCAAACCAUGCCCCGCUUCUGAUGCUUCUUCAACACUACUCUUUGUUGCACUAGCCAGCAUGUGAGCUUCUAUCUCUGCCUCAAACCUUUCCGCCUCAACUUCUAAAUCCUCAAAUUGCUCUACUUCUUCACCUAUCUUUGUAGUGACACUUAACUGUUCAGGCUUUUUCAAUAAUGUAAAAUCACCAAUUCCGUCCUCCACUUCUUUCUCUUUCUCCACCCCAACAAUAUCAUCAGAAUCUUGUUUCUCAUCAAUGCUUGUAUCAACGCUCAUCGGUUCCGGCUUUCUCAACAAAGUCAUAUCAGUAAAUUGUUCCUUUGCCUUUUCAUUCCUCAUUCUUAAUGACAAAUUUGAUUUCAUCCUAAACCUGGAUGGCCUAUCUUCUACAUCAUCUUCAUUAACUACAGUUGGUUUUCUCAAUAUAACAUUUGGAAGCUUACUCUUUCUCGCACUAUCCAUAGCCUUCUCACCCGAUACAGUUGGCCUCUUUAUUUCAGAUGCAGGAGGCUUAACAUCAGUUUCAAACUUGAUUCCCUUCUUUGGAACAGGACGAACUAAAUUUAAACCAUCAGAAGAUGUGGAAGUUGAUUUCUUUUCAACAUCAAAAGGGACCUCUUCUACGUCCACUAUUUGACCCUUGUUUUUAUAAAAUGAUUUCUCAAUUUCAAUAUAAGAUGCUUCAGGAUUUGCUUUUCUACCCAUUAUCUGAAAAAAACCAAAAUGCAAUAACAUUGAAAAAAGUCAUAAAAAAGGAAAAUUCAAACAAUAAGAAAUAUGGGUGUUUCAAAAAAGAAAGAAAAAAAGUAAAUUUUCUCUAAAUUAAGCAUAAAAACAUAAAAAUAAAAGAGAAAGAGAAAAAGGGUACUUUGGCAAGGGUGAGUUUGGGGUCUUCCCCAAGCAAGCGACCAAACUUGAGCUCCAUUUGGUCCCAUUUGUCAAGCUUUGGCUCUUCUUUCUGCGCAAAAACCCUAAAAGAAACCCUUUUCGAGCUUCUUUUCACUCGUACUCUUGACAAUGUUACAGAAGGAAACAACGAAAACUUGUAGACAGAGAAGGAAGCACCGACGGCGGUGGUUGCGGCGGCGCAAGAUAAAGAGUCCAUUUGUAGGGCCAAAGUGAAAGCAAGCUCAUCAAACGGCGUCGUCUAGCAUUGCCAAAAUUGUUGAUCCUUGAAGCCUGGGAUUGAAAUUUGAGGCUUGGUGGAAGGGAUAAUUAAAAAAAAAGUACUUUGAACUGUGGGAUGAAGCAAGCAGAAGAUAUGAUAUGAGCAACAUUAUCUAUCACUAAGGUAAUAAUGCCCACAUGGCAGUUCAAUUUGACAUCCCCUAUUACUUCGCCACGUGUGAUCAACUCUGCUGGAGGUUCGUAAGAGAAAUGGCUCUAACACGUGGCAUGUUUAGAGGCCAUGUAAAAUUUUAGAAUGAAAUUCCAUUUAAUUUUGAGGCCUGAACUCAAUGGAGCAAGAGCAACCCAACCCAGAUUCAGGGGCUUCCAUGGAUGCUAACAAAUAAGCCUGAAAAACUUUUUAGCAGGGUCUCAAAUUCAAUUUGGGAUAUGCUUUAGAGGUGCUUAUGGGUUGAGCCGAGUCGGGUUUGGGCCUUGCUCAACUAAAAAUUUAGGCUUAUUUAUUAGGUUUGGGUUCAGCCCGGCCUAAAAAAUAAGCCUAAAAUUUUAUCCAAUCUCGACUUGGAUAAAAAUGCUAAAACCCGAGCCCGACCAGGUCUGCCUGUAUUACUUUUUAUAUAAUUUUUAAAUAUAUAUAAUACAUCAAAAAUACUAAAAACAUCAAAAUAAAUAUUUCCCAAGAAAUUGAAAAUAAAUUUUAAAAAAUAUGUAGACUUAAAUAACACUAAGAUAAAUGAAACUUAACAAGCAAAUGCCUAUAAAAUAAUAACAAAAUUAACAAAUGCCUUUAAAAUAAUAACAAAAUUAACAAUAAAAUAAGUUUUAAACAAUAUGCAAACAAUAACAACAAAAUAGUAGCAACAUAAUAGUAAAAAGGUAGCAAAAUAAAGGAGAAAAUAACAUUUAAAAAGAAAAAGAGUAGAUUUUUUUUGUCCUUUAGUGAAUUCGGACCGAGCCAAAAAUGCCUUACUCGAGGCCUGACCUGUUUUUAAAAGGGCCUUAUUUUUUUAUCCAAGCCCAUUUUUCGGGCCUAUAUUUUUGCCUAAAUCCUCCCACAUUUCGGGCAGGCCUUCGGGCCGGACUAUAUGGCCUGACUCAUGAUCAGGUCUUAUCUGCUUCCAUAAUUUUUUAUUUUUUUAUUUUACAUAAAAAGUAUAAUUAGAUGUUAUCAAUAGAUCAAAACAAAACGAAUGUUAACUGAAGGUUUAAAUAUAAGUUCUUUAAGUUGGUUGAAGUACCGUAUCAAUAUAAGAGAAUGUGAAUUCAAACGUUUUUUGUUCUCUUAUUCAAAAUUUUAAAAAAAAAAUUAUAAAUAAUUUUAGACAUUGUAUGAAUUUUUUUUAUUCAAAUCCUUUUAUUUUUUUCUUAAAAUUUUAUAGACAAUAAAUGUACCAAAAGUAAUUAAUAUCAAUCAUAAAAUAUUAAUAAAUUUCAUUUAGACAUUUUUUUUAUCAUUUGUAAUGCGUAUACAUAUAUAUAUAUAUAUAUAUAUAUUUAGAAUUUUCUAUCCUCAAUUUAUUUGUAAUAAGCAUAUAAUCAUUUAUUACAAUUAAAUUAACAACUUUUUUUAUAAAAAAAAAUAUCAUUUUUUAUUAAAGCAAAUAAAAAAUGAUUGUGUUAGACAUAGAUUGUUUUAAAUUAAAUAAUGGUUAUGGUCUCUUUAUAUAUUUAAAUUUAGAGUUUAAUAUUUAUUCUUUAAUUUGAUAUAAUUUGGUUCCUCUACAUGAUGUCAUUAAUUAUUCUGGUAAAAAAAUCAGGUUCAAUUUUUUUUCUUAAAAAUAUCCAUUCCAACUUUAUGCGCGCGCACACAUACCGUGUUAGAAAAGUGCUUUUAAGAGAAAUUCAUGUUAUCAUUUUAACCGAUAUAGAUAAGGAUUCUAACUAUUUAAACUAACUAAUAUAGAGAUCAAAACUACAAUCUUACUGUCAUAUUAUAAUGACUAAAAAAAUAGUUGAUCAUUAGUUAGUAUUAGCAUCCUUAAUAUUUUGGCAGCCCACCUGAAAUUAAAAAAAAAAAAACUUAUUUCAAUUUAUCAUGUCAAAUUAAUUUUUUAUUAAAAAUCAACACAAUUUUUAAUCAAAAUAGAUAAAAAUGUUAAUUACUUGGACUAACUAAAAUUUUAUAAUCAAAUUAUGUCAAAUUAAAAUAUAAAUAUUAAAUAUCAAAUGUUAUUAUAAGUAAAAUAUUAGUUUAGUUUUUUAAAAUAUAUUUUUUUAUUUUUUAUUUAAAAAAUAUUUAUAUUUUUUUAAAAAUAAAAAAAUGGAAAAUAAAAUAAAUAUAUGUCAAAUAUGAAAACAAGUUUUGGGCUUAUAUUACCAAAUAUGAGAAAUAAAAUAAAAAGUUUAAAUGGAUUUGAAUAAGGAUAAUAGAUUUUAUAUUUUUUUAUAAGAAUGAUUUUUUUGUAUUUAUAUAAGUUUCAUCUACAAAUAUUGUUUAACAAAAACAAGGAAAAUAAUUUUAUAUUUUAAUUUUCAUAUAAAAAACAUUUUUAAAAUUUUGAAGCAAAAAGUUUUAUUUAGUGUUUUAAACAAAAAAGGUGUUACAAGAGAUUUGAGACAAACAUUUCAAGCAAUGGAAAACUAUAGGAAUCUGAUUUCAAAAGCAAAGCAAUGGUGAAAGUCUGAACACAAACCCCCUGCCCUUAGUCCCAUUACAAAUUUGAUUCCCUUUUCCCAUCUCAUUUCCAAUGACAAAUGACACAAUAAAUUUGGACCAACACCUUGAAUUUGCUUGCAAGGUGGAGAACUGGGGAGACCCUUGGAGCCAUAGGAAGAACUUCAACAGAACAAGGUCAAGCACCGCAAUUCGGAUAAAUCCCCUGAUCGUUCAGUGAGCAUUCCACUAUUAGGUUUCUGCACCAUCUUCUUCAGAUUUUUCUUCUGUUUCUUCUGCUUCUGGUUUCGCAUCAUCUUCCGAUUCGACUGCAUCUUCGGGCUUUUGCUCCGGUGAAGAUCCUGCCAAGUUUUUCUUCAUGCAGGCUUGCUUGGCAAGGUGACUGUAGCAUCCCUUCUCCAUGAACAGCUGAGCAAAGUGAUGCUUGCAGUAAAGGAUACCAUCCAUUGCAGCAUAUGUUGAUGGUGUAAGCAAGCAACCUCCUGGUGAACACCUGAAGCAGGAUUUGUGGUAGUUUUCUCCCUCCACUGUCACCUGUUAUUGUUUUAACACAAAUAUUCUUCACUCGUUUUCAUCUUCAAUACGCAAUCUAUAAUAUUGUAGUAUCAUCCUUGCACACGAAAAUUUUGUUCAAGGUGGCAGAUCAAGAAUCUAAAAGCAAACCUUCUCUAAGGGGUACGCGGUUUUGUUACAGACUCCGCAUUUAUCUUGUGUGCCUGAGAAGAAGGCUGCAAGUCUGUUCGGAGUCCUUGUCUGCAAGUAAAAUAAAAUGAACAUCAGUCUUGACAUGGCAAAUGACAAAAGUUUUUAAGGCAAUGGUGGGAGACAGUUCGAGUACCUGCCCAUUUGGCUUGUCGGAUUUUUUGGCUGAAAAAACAAACAAACAAGAAUAAUAAUUGUUAGCCAAGAUCAAGAGAGAAAUGGUUUAUAAGGAAAAGGGGCUAUCUCACAUUGGAAAUUCUUGGUAUAAGUGCCAGUUUCUUUGAAGAGUUGUUCAAAGUGAGGUUUGCAAUAAAGCACUCCUUCCAUUGAACAAUAGUUGCUCAUCUGUAAGAACAAAAAGUUCAUCACUGUCAUAUUCAGCAAUCCUAUGACAAAGUAAAAACUACUACAAAACAUACCACGAGUAAGCCAUUGCAAUGGGUGCAUUUGAAGCAGGUCUUAUGAUAAGGAAUCCCAUCAGCAGUUAAUAAAUCAACGAAGUGAACAGUCUUAUCACAAACCGUGCAUUUAUCUAUCGUCCCACUAAAUGCCAUCUUCCUUUUAGAAAAGAAAGGAUAAGAAGAUAGAUUCAAGGGAAGACAAACACCGAGUUCCAGUCGCUAUCUCAGAAGAAAGGUGAGAUAGGGAAGGAACUCGGAAAGAAUUGUCUACUGUUUUCCUCCUUAAAAAUGGUGGAGGAUAUAAUAAUAUACAUGACCCGACGCUUAUUAAGGAUACGCAAUCAAUGGUCCUUCCCUAACUCCUUUGGCAAUAUAUAGACUUCUAUAGCUCUAAGAAUAGGCCCACGUUUCAUGUUGAGUGACAGAGAUGCAACCAUUUCCUGACAAGUUUUUCAUUGACGGAUCCAGAUAUUAAUUUUAAGUUCACAACGUUAUCUAACAUAAUCCACUCCUUUGUACGUGCCAGCAUGAUUUAAUAUAUGUAUAUGUAUAUAUGACUUGUCACGUUUGCUGAUAUUGAUUCAGUUGCAAUUGUGACAAGUAAUUGGUGAGGAACAUCAAACAAAACUAAUAAAAAUAAAUUGGUUAGACAAUUCAGUUUGUAUUUAUAUUUGUGAGUUUAUCUAGAAAGUUAGUCCAAUUCAACCAAUUCAUACUACUUCGUAGGUCCCCGGUUUUUUCCUUACUCCAAGACUAAUGUACCAGUUAGUUCUCAAUCCACCCUUGAGCUAAUUCACUAUCUUUAAAUUCUGUAACUUGAGCUAAUUCACUAAUAGAAGAUAAUUUAAGUGCAAUUUCAUAUUCAUACUAAAAUCUACAUCACUCUCUACCAAGUUAUACCCUUAUCUAUAAAAUCAAGUGACUCAUUUAAAAAAAAAAUGUGCUCUCAAAUAAUUUCUUACUAAACAAAAAUAUGAGAGCUCACUCUUGCAUGAACUACAUAAGUCAAGCCUGUCAUAUAUAAGAGUUUUCCCACCGAUUUUGAGUUUUUAUUUUUAUUUUUUUUCAAUAGAUCAACAUCAAAGAUUGCCAACACGAAAUCAAGCAUGUUAUAGUUAUCAAACUAGAGCUAUAGCUCAAGUUGCAACUGCCUUUAUAACAGGAUCAGAACUCCAACACUGAAGUGUAUGGCGAUGUGAUAUUCAAAUAGGAAUUAAUGUAUUCCACAACAUAUAUUUGUAUAUAUACACACAUAGAUAAUGAUUAAAAACCAAUAUUAGAAUGUCUUUGACAAUUACAAACCAACAAGGGGAAAAGUAAUAAGAAAACAUAGGCAAAGAAUCAAACUAAAUUCCAGGAAGAAAAAUGUGUCCUAUAUAUGAAACAUUAGUUGAGGAUGUUAACUACCGAAACAGCCAAGAAAUUUCUUUGGUGUAUAUCCAGUUGAACGAAACUUGGCUGCUGUUUCCUCUAUCUUGAGAAAAUCUUCACCUUUCUUGGCUUCGAUCAUCGCUCUUCUUUCUUCAGCUUGUUUAUGGAGUUGAGCCACUUUGUUUUUCAUUCUCUCUGCAUAUUCUUCCUUCUUCUUUUCCAGUUUUUCCUAUCAAAUAACAAAGCCCUUUGGUUAAAUAAAAGUACCCACAAUCUAUAGAACUUGUAAUCCAAGCUUUUUUGUGCAUUGGGGUUAACAACGUGGGUAAUGUCUUUUUUUUACCUCAAUGCUCUUUAGCUGUGCUUCUACAGCAGAUUUCUUGGUAUUCUCCCAUGAUCCAAUAGCAGAUAUCUUCUUAUAUGCCCUGAUUUAGCAUCAAGUAUGGCAUUCUAUCAGAUAAUUUAAGUAACCUUUUGAUUUAGUCCCUUUGCCUACUUUUUUAAACCUGAAAAACAAGGAUUUGAACAAAGUUUUAGAGAUGGGUAUGGCUGGCUCUUACUUGUUGUCUAUUUUUGCCUUCUCAUUUUCCUCCCAUGCUUUAACUAAAGCUAGUCUUUUUUCUGUCUCAACUCGAGCAAGCACGGAAUCUGAAAAAUAAUUGAUAUGAUAAAAGUCAAUUAUUUUUGCAAAUAAAUUGAAAUUAAAUCAACAUACAUAUAUACCUCUGUUGUUUGGACUUUUCUCUGUAACUGAUGGUGGUGUUUCUGCUGCUGCAACUUCUGCCAUUUUCAACCAUGUAAAACAUGUCAGAUAAUGUAAAAUCAUGGGAUAGCCUUUAUGAUUCGGAACUAAAAACUGGCUGAAAAUUUUUCCCAUCCCAAUUCAGACUUAUUAAGUUCAAUAAACAAACAUAUGAUGGGUGGUGUUUCUGGAAAUACAUCAUAUAAAAGUAAUUACAAGUAAUUUGGUAGGACAUGCAAUCCAUAGCAUAUUUAUGACCAAAUUCGUCUAGCAGAUGCAGUAUCUUGGCACAGAAAGCAGGGGAAACAACAGAGUAACAUUUUGAUUAAACAAAACAGGAUCCUCUUCUUUUUUUUCUUUUCAACAGCGCAUGCAAUCAAUAUUAUCUUCCAAAAUAUGUUCAAAUAACAUCUUCAAAAAAAAAAAAAAACCACAUACUCUUCUUUUUUUUUAAAUGAUUGCCAUGACCAAAUUAGAAGUUUGAGAGAAACAAGGGAAAAAAAAUCAUACUUUGAGGAAGAGGGAUGAUCACACUCUUCUUCUCUGCACCUGCUUCAUCUUCAUUCUCCAUCUCUUCUUCCUUAACAGGCUGUGGCUGUGGCUGCUGCUGCAUGUCCUCCUUGGGUUCAGAGGCUUCCAUUUUAUUGGCUUCCUCCUCUCCCAUCACGUAGUCCUUUAACUUAGCCACUGAUACACUAUCACUUUCCCUCUCUAAUUUCUAAGGUAAAAUGGUAUACAGAUUUUAACAAACACCCAAAAAAACAAAAACUAACAGAGAAACAACAGAUAGAGCAGAAAGAAAGAGAGAAAGAAGGUGUUUGGAAGUGUCAGGUGGAAACUACAAAGGGUGGUUGUGGUAGGUACAAAUCGAAUAUUUAAAGGGAAAGGUGCUUAAUUUUGCAUCUUUUAUUUUUUCUUUAUAAAGUUUAUACAUAAAAUAUGUAUUAUAUGAAAGUAGCUUUCUUAAAAUAAAGAUAUGGUUCUCACGACAGUUUAGGAAAUAAAAGAUAUUCUGUAUAGCUUUUUAUGUCAUCACUUGCGGAAACAAGAAGCAAGCAAAAUAUAAGUGAACAAACCUGGUCAAAACUGUAUGUAUGUUAUCCCCAUUUCCUUGUUUUCGGAAGUGAAUUUUUCAAUCUGGAUUCUGAAAACAAACAUCCUACACAAAAUCUAUCCCCCCUAUCAUUUCCCAAUUAUUAAAUAACAUUUCAAUAAUUUUCAGCCAUUGACAUAUAAUUUUAAUAAUUUUCUCAGAACCUCGAACCCCAAACUUGAAUCAAAACUCCUGAAGGGUUUCGGGUCAAGUUCAAAUUUGGAUUCAAGUUUGAGGUUCGAGCAAUAGUGGAGCCAAAGGGUUGACAGUAGAGGUGUCCAUGGACCGAGUCAGAUCCAACAAAAAUUUAAGACAUGUUUGUUAGGCCCCGAGCCUAGCCCGAAUAAAAAUGUUAAAACUCUGUGUUAAUUGUUUUAUAUUAUUUUUUAUAUAAUUUUUUAAAAAUAUAUAAUACAUUAAAAUAAAUAUUUUCUAAUAAAUUGAAAAUAAAUUAAAAAAAUAUAUACUUAAAUAACACUAAGAUAUGCACAAUUUGACAAGCAAAUGUCUUUAAAAUAGUAACAAAAUUAACAAUAAAACAAAAGCUAUACAAUAUCCAAUUAUAAAGAUAUAAACUAUUGAAAUCGUGAAAUUAUAUUUUUAUUAUGGUAAAAAUAUACAAUUUAAUUUCACCCCUCCCAAAAAAAAUUUCCUGACCCCGCCAUUGGGUUCAGGUUCAAAGUCAAGAUUCAGGGUUCAAGGUAAAAAAAUCACCAAAACUAUGAGUUAAUGACAUGAAAAAAUUACUGAAACAUCAUUAAAUAAUUGAAAAGUAACAAUGAAUAUUGUGACGAGAAUAAUCCAUAAAAUAAUUUCUUUAAUUAUUAGCUCUUUUUAUUAUUUAAUUAUAAACCCCGUCCUUCUAAUUUAAUAGGUCAUAAUUUGUUUUUAUUUUCAUUUUCGUAAAGUGUAAAUAUCAAAUUUUAAUAAAUUAAAACAAACGAAUUAAUUCCCCAAAACUGAAAUUUACUAUUAAACUUAUUAAUUAAUGGUAGGAAAGUUGUUAUUAGUUCUUAUGGUCCUUCACGAUCACGAUAUGGGUAACAAAUAUACAGCUGCUGAAAAUGGACACUACAUUGAAAUAUAUGUCUAUUUUAUAAUUUUAUUUAUGCCAACUAUCCAAACACAGUUUUGGGGACAAGUAGCUUUAUUGCCUUAAUUUUUCUGUAUAAAUAACUAGUGUCCACUAUUUUACGUUUCUAUUAAAUAAAAUGUCCGCUUUUCCCUACCACUAUACUAUCAUAUCAUAAAUUUAAAAAUGAGGUAAUUUGGAUGUUUAAUAAAUUUAUUUAUUAUAUAAUAUAUGAGACAAAAUUUACAGCUAUUUAAAUAUGAUUAAUUCGACUUUACAAUUUCCAACGCAUUAUAAUUAUAUAACACAAAUUCAAUAUGAAAAAUAAUCAAAAUAAGAAAUGAUACAAAAAUCAUAUAAAUAAUUAUAUUUUUUAAAAUUGAUAAAAUAUUUUUUUAUGUAUAUAUGACUUUGACUAUUGACAAAAAGAAUUAAUACGAAAUUACGUGUCACAAAAAUAAUGUAUUCAUUAUGAGGCUGUGGGAUCCAAAUGUGACCAUGCUCCAACACAUAGGAGCAAAUGUACAACAACGGCUUAUGCUGCCUGAAUCUCUCUUCUCCCCUUUGUGGCUUCUGUUAAGAAAAUUUCCUCGAACCUUCGUCAACAAAAACAAACUUAACUUUGCACUGUAAAUGUGUUUGUGUCAAAAAUUUCACUAACAAAUUUAGAAAAAUAUUAUGUUUUUUUUUAAUGAAACAUGUUAAAAAAAUUUAUUUAGAGAUACAUCCAAGUCCUUGUAGGAGCAUUUCAAAAAGUUGAAUACUAUCAUUAUGACUAACAGAUGUUUUAGCUAGACUAUUUGCCUUAUUGUUUUGAGAUCUGAAACAUAUUGAAUCGAACAUUGUGACAAUUUAGUUAAUUAUGAAUUAAUUCUCCUAACUAAAGUGGAGUUCGACACCUUAGUAGCACUCUUUAUAACGUUUGUAUCGCCUCUAGGCUGUUUGAAAAGAUUAAUAUUCUGUUAAAUCUCUUAUCAAUAACAAUCACCAAGCCUUCAAAGAUGCCCUAUAUUUCAGCAUUUAAAACUGAAUAAAUGCCCACCAGUUAGUUAAACCUAAAAUCCAACAAUUAUAUCUGUUAUAAAGAAUCUCCCGAUCGAACCGGUUAAACCCUAUUUAAAUUAUUAAUUGAUGAACAUUUUAUGGAAGUAGAUUUGCUUCUUUAUAUAAAUCUUUUGACAGCCGACUUGUCUGUCUCCAUCUUUGGUCUAAUAGAUUAAUUGUGGUAAAAAGUAAUCCAAGUUUGCCUAAAAUCUUUUAAUUUCAUUAAAACGUAGCUUCAAAUUUUAUGGUGUGAUAGAGAGUUUGAACAAUAUUACCUGUGAGUUGGAGUUGUGACAUUAUUAUCAAUGCCCCUACUUCACUGCAAAUUAGAAAUAGAUGGACCUUAAUGUCACUAGAAAUUAGGGAAAUAGUUAUGACAAUAAUAUUAUUAUAUUACUAAUUAUUUCCUAUUUUCUUUAAUUUACUUACCAUUGAAAUACGUCUAAAAAAUUUUCACUCCUUUUUUAUUUCCCUUCUCCUUGUUAACUUAAAUAUUGGAACACUUUUUAGACUCUCACAAAACUACUAAUCUCUGUUAUAUAUAUAAUUAUUCGAGUUUAACAUGUUAUAUUUAUUUUUCUUAAAUUAAAUACAACUUAAAAAACAUACCUAACAAAAUCUCAACUCUACUUUUUAAUUAAAAAAAUUUAGUGAAUUUUCAUUACCAAAUUUUAUAAAUGCAGAAUUUAUAUUAAUUUUUUUGAUAAAUUAAUAAAUAUAAGUACCGGAUAUAAUUUAGAUUGUUUAAUAAAGGUAAAUAUUGAUUUUGAAAAUAUUAUUUACUUUUUAAUUUUAAUCUUAUUAAUAUAAUAUUUUAUAUUUUUUGAAUAAUUUUGGAUGAAAGAUAAAUAUGUUAAUUUUAAUAUCUUUUUUUUUAAAAAUUGUUUUAAUUUUUUAAUAAAAUAAAAUCAACAUAAUAUUUUCUAUGUUAAGUGAUAAGUAGUUAUCUAUCUACUUAUCUUAUUCAACACUUUUUUGUUAAAAUUUUUAUAUUAAGUAAAAAAAUUAAAAUGACUAUCAAACGCAUUUAAAAUAUGAAAUGUUGAAAAUUUUCACUUUCAAUGAAAUGAAAAUUUUCAAUGGUUUAUCAAACACAUCCUUAAUAAUUGCAAUGACAAAGCUGAAAAAAAUUUGGGCUAAAAUUAUAUUAUAAAUUUGUAAAAGGUUAGAAUAUAAUUUUAUUUUUGUAUUAAUUUAAAUAAAUUUCCAAAAUGAUGAAAAUAUAAUUAACCAUGUUUGAAAGGAUAAAAUUAAUUAUAUUCUUUUGAAAAUUAUAUUAAAUUAAAAUUUUCUAAUUUUUAAAAAAACCAAACACCAAACUUACAACUUCUUACCAAGGUUUCGAACUUAUAAAAAAAUAAUUUAUAAAAAUUAAAUAUGAUUUUAGUUAAAAUAGUAAAAUUGAAGUAAAGAAAAUUUUCGGAUAUAUAUAUUUUUAAAUUUAUAAAAAUAAAAAAUAUAUAAAUACUUUCAAAAUAAUAUAUAAUUAAAAAUUUUUUAAACAAUCACAUUAUAAAUUUUGAUCAUAUUUGAUUUAUUUGACAUAAUGUCGAGAACUGCUCAUAAAUCCAUUCAACUCAUAAAUAGGGAGAUAAUAUAGUUUAACGUACUCGAACCCACAUCUUCUUGCAUUGAUAAUAAUAUUGAUGUUAAUUGAACUAAAAUAUUAUUAUUACGGUUGUUUUUGGGUUAAGUGUAGGACUUUAUGGUUUUGGAUGAUUGUAAAGGUUAUUAUUUUAUUAUCCUAAAGAAAUCAAAGAAACCGACCACGGAAUGCAUCUGACUUAUAGAUUUGAUACAAAUGUAGUAGGAUAAUAUCUCACAUAACUAAAUAAAUAUUAAAAAAAUAUUUGUCAAAUUUAAUAUUAGUGGAAACCAGAAAAAUUAAUAGAUAAAACAAGCAGGGCGUAGGCACACCGCCAUUUGGCACCUUUAUCUCUCGUUGGUCAAACCGAAUCUCAAUCAAACAAUUAAAUAAAACAAAAAUUAAGAUAUAUGGGAUUAAUCCAUACGUCCAAAGAUUUCAAUCGGUAAAUGUAUUUGAACAACUACGAAAAUUCAUGAACGUGCAUCGUGUGUGAAGAAAACGUAACAAUGCAUUUAUCUAGUGUGCGCGAGAAUCAGAAAUUUUGUUUACGAAAUAGAAAUUAAAUUGUAAUUUUUAUAAUAGUAAAAAUAAGAUAUUAUUAUUUUAAUAAUUUAGAUUUUUAUAAAUUUUAAAGAAUUAAAUCAAAUUUUUAUCAUUUUUAUAGGGUAAAGUGUAAUUUUACUUUUAUUAAUUUAAAAUUUUAAAGAGUCUAAAUAAAAAAAAUUUCAUUUUAGGAGAGGUCGAGGCCCUGCCAACCCCUAGCUAUGCCCUUGGGUGAAAGGGGAAAAAUUUUAUGUUAUGAUGGAAUUUAAAUUAUAAUUUUUUGGAAGGUUAAAAUAUAUUUUUUAUCAUAUUUUUAAUGAAGUAUAAUUGUUGUAUUUUAGAUUUGUUCAAAAUUCAGGUUAUUAGUCUGAGCUUAAAAGCUAGUUCGACAUUUAAGAAGUUUAAGUAAAAAUAUUGGUUUGAUAUUUGAUUUUGGGCAAAAAAAAAAGAAGAUAAGUCCAUUUAGAACAUAAACUACACUUAUGUUUCAAUAUUCAAAACUCAAUCCAACUCACUUAAAAAAUAAUCAAAAUCUUCCUCUUUCUUCAAGAUAAUAUAUAUAAGGGUAAAAACUACUUAUCCUUCAAAUUUAGUGCAAAAUACACUUCACACUAUGAUUUCAAGAACACCCCUUGUAAGGUUUGAAGAAAUCUCCUAAAGUUGUUUGAAAUUUAUUUAUUAAAUUUUAAAUAAAAAUAUAAUCCUAUCUCAAUUGAGAGAAGAUAAUUGUGUGUAAAUACACUUGAUAAAAAAAUAGUGUAUGUUGUGCAACAAGGAGUUUGUAUGGUUCCUUUAUAAGAAUUUGAAAGGAUGCAUCUUGUUGUUUUACCAACAAAAUGGAAAAGACAUGUUUGUGUGAGGUUAGAAGAGGAAAUGGUGCAUCAUAAUUUGCAAGCAAGUGGUAGUGUAUAUGCCCUUAGAUUCUAUAAAGGGAAAUGGCUCAAAUCUUACCAAGUGCUUGAAACUCACUUUCUUUUGGUAGGUGACUGUGCGCCUCGUGUGACUUAGUUACAGUUGAUCCAACGAGGCAUUCCCGUUCUAUGAACUCUGCCUCCGGCUCGAAUUUUCUACAGGGUUAGGGGAUAAAACCUCAGUUCAUCUCGAGGGUAAUACCGAUUCAUUAAGGCGUUCAUCAACUUUAGACGGAUGACACAUUGAAGACUUCUUUGAAAAGUGUUGAUCUCCCUCAACAAGGUUAAAUUCUAUUAUUAAUCCCUGCACUAUGUGUAAGUUAUGAAUUUUUAGUCUCUAUAUUUUAAUUUGGUCAUUUUCAGUCCCUAUAUUUUUAAAAAUUUGAAAUUUUAGUCCUUACCAAAAGCUAGUUGUUAAUUCAUUAAGUUUUGUUAUUUUCAAAAUCAUAUGCGACAAAUACAUUAUCACAUGUAUAAUAUCAUAUCAGCUUUAUAUUUCCACACAUUGCUUAUAAAAAAAGCCAAUAAAUGGAUUAAACAUAUGACAUUUGUGUCAAGACUAAAAUUCAAAUUUCAAAAAGUAUAGGGACUAAAAAUGAUCAAAUUGAAAAACAUGAAUUAAAUUUACAACUUUAUCAAAUUUACAACUUUACCCAUAGUAUAGAAUUAAUAAUAAAAUUUAACCAAAUAAAUUUAACUAUUGUUAUCAUUUGGAUUAGGACUAAAGUUUUAAAAUUCAAUAAAUACAUGAAUUAAAUUUGUCCAAAUUAAAAUAUAAAUAGUAAAUCUAUUACUAAAUAACGGAUUAAUAACAAAAUUUGAGCAUGGAAGCUUGCAUUCAUGUAAAACAAUCACUCCCUGGAGAACCACUUUUCUCUUUAAAACAAACAGAAACUGUAACAGGGAAAUAACCCGGGGGGGGGGGCAGCUGAAAAAGUUUGUGAUAAAAGCCAAUAUAGGCUCCAUCAAAUUUUCAGUUCACUUAAUAAUUGUCCAAACGCAAGCCAUUGUCACUUGGUCUUUCUUUUCCAAGCGUUAACACCCCUAGCAGCUACUGUAAAAAACAUGGCGUUCAAUUACGGGGAUUAAGUGAAAUGAUAAAAAUUUUUCCUAUCUUAACUAGUAAUUGAGAGUUUAAUCUUCGUCUUAAGUGUUGAGUAGCUUUAAAACUCGUGACUAAUGUUUAUUCUCUUAAUAGACUUAUAUAACGCAAAAAAAAUUAAUCAUUGAACGCACUUCAAUAAAUUCCUUCAAAAACUAAAAAGAAAAAAAAACAUAUGUUGGUGGACUGGAUUCCCUUCUCCCAUAAAUAUAGUAUUCAAAAAAAUUCUCUGCACUUUGCAUUCACCAAAGUUUCUUCAAACCAUAAUUUUAGGCAAUCCAUACGAUUUCGGGUAUAUUAAUUAUAAAAUGAUAUGUUUAUUAUUCCCAAUGAGUAUGUAAUAGGAAGAAGAACCGGAAAAAGAAAAUAAAGCAACCGGCAUUGGUGGGAACAUGACUCCAUAUAUGGUGGCGGAGGCAAGCAAGAAAACGGAAAAAAGGUGAAAAAGUUAUGGCUGCCACCGGCCCGCCGCCAUUUCGACAAGACAACAAUGAGUUGUUGGUCGCUGGUGGGAUUAGUGAAACCGUAGUUCUCAGUUGCUUGUCAGCCUAAUUUGAUGAUGCCCAAUUUUGAGGUAAAAGUAAAACGUAUGGUUAAGUUGUUUGUAACGUGUUUUAAUUAGAAUUAAUCACCUUUUUUUCUUUUCUUUUUUCGAUGUAAUAUUUCAGAGCAAUAUUAAAUCUCAUAUUAAUAGAACAUAAGUAGAGAAUCAGUUUUCUUUUCGUUGAUAUGAGUUGGGCCAAUUCGUUGAAUUUGUAAUUUAUAGGGAUUUGGGUUGAAUAAAAGUUAAAUGGGCUCAAUAGUGAUAUCACCGCUGAACAAAGUCCAAUUUAAAUGGAUCGACUUUUAAGAGGAUUCACCUUUUUAGAAAUUUCAAAUAGGUGUAGUAAUGGAGUCCUAAACAUAAUCCAUAUGUAAAUGUAUAUGCUAAUAAGUGUAUAUGUAUAAAAAAAUUUAUGAUCAAAGAACAAGGUGGAGAGAUACGGCGGUUCACACAGUGGUGAGGUGUUGAAAGAUACUAGAUGAAAAGAUAGAGAAGUAUAUAACAUGAAAGAAAAAAAAGACAACGGUCUCUAUCAAAGCUAAGGAGGCGUAUAUAGGGAAGAAUUGUCACUCCUUGGCAUUACAGCUUAGCACAUGUUCACAUUGGUCUCGUCAUGGUUUGUCUCUUAAGGAACAUGGUAGUGCUACUAGAUAGGUCAGGAUGUGAUUAAAGUGAAUCUAGUGAGAUCCCACAUGGGCCUUAUAUAUACUUUAUAUAAAAGAGUAUUCAACACUUGUCUAUAACGAGGUAAAUCAUAAAUGUAUCAUGUGUUCAGCAAUGCAUAUGUCUACAAAAAUCACAGUAAUUAUUAAGUAUUUGUCAAAAUCAUCUAGCUUAAUUUUUUUUUAAAUAAAAAUAAUUAAUCUUAUUUUGAGAACAUAGACAUAAAAUGUAUGGAACGAAAUUAAAUGAGGAUACAAAUGGAGCAAAACAAGCCCUGUGGAAAUAUUGUAUUAAAAAGAUGUAUGGGACCGAUUAAGCUCUAAAGAAAUAUCGACCACCUUCACGUGAGUGACCACCCUUCUACAUCUAUGGUCUCUCAUGUAUGCACUUAUUAGGCUCAUCAUGAUUUCACCCCUUUUCUAACUUGUUACUCUUUUUUUCUAGUUAUCGUCUCCAAUUUUAUCACACUUUCUGCUUUUAAUUUCGCUGUGCUCUCAUAUGCUAAAGAAGAAGAAAAAAAAGCAAAAGCGAAAAUCUCCUGCGAGAAAGAAAAAAAAGAUAAAGUGUGUUCACGUGAAUAAAAAGACAAGAAAAAAAAAACUAUGAGAAAUAUUUGAUAGUAAAACUAUAGAUUGAUGGGAUUUUAGAAAUAUGUAUCCCACAACUAUUAACCCAAGAUUUCAAUAAUGUGUGAUAGACUAGUUAUUUUAAUCUAAUUGAGAAGUUAUUGUUUUUUAUUUUAUUUUAUCCCAUCACAUGAGAAAAGAAUUGAAGUAAUAGGAGGUUUAUGAAAUGAUUUUAUAAAAUUAUUGAUAAAAACUUCUAUUUAUAGAAGUAAUUGUCAUCUUGAAUGGCUCUAAACUCAAUAGGAGAGGACUUUAUAGUAUGGGAGCUGUCCGAGUCUGGUUCCUUUGCGCUUGCCAGUACUUACUCACUAGCCUAUAAGAGGAUUCGGGUCACCCCUUGCAUAAGUAGUAACCUUUGGACUUCUAUCUAGAAAGUUAAACUACCUCCUAAAUUAAAAUUAUUUCUCUAGAAGUGUGGUAAUAAAGCUCUCCCUACAAAUCAUUUCUUAGCCCGGAGCGGUUGCGCUAUCAUCGAUCGAUAUUCCUUUUACUCUUUGGAUCAAGAAAAUAUCUAUCACUUACUCCAAGAUUGCCCUUUCACAGUUGCAUUAUAGGAGUCUAUCUGUCACUAGGUCCAAUACACCCCUCCACAUCUUGACCGUCGGGAAGAUUGGCUUCAGGAUAACAUUUCAUCUAAAACGUGGGCUUGAUCUCCUCAAAUUCCUUGGUUUGUUUCUCUAUGGGGGCUAUGGUUAUGUUAGAAUGCCUUAAUCUUUAAUCAAUAUAGGCAUGUUGCUAGGUUUGUUCAGGGGGUCCUUAUACCUGCGAGUUCUCUGCCCUCCUCCCCUCAAAAACAGUGAGGACUCUCUGAUUUCAUCCUUGUAUCCUGGAGGCCCCCUCAUGUAGGAUGGUUCAAAAUUAACACAGAUGGCUUUUCUCUGGGUAAUCUAGGGAAAGUUGGUGUUGGUUUUCUUAUUCAGGAUCAUUUAGGUAAUUGGGUGAUUGGUGCCUACUGACAUAUUCCAAGAACUACCAACGUUGAAGCAGAGCUUUGGGCCUUGCGUGAUGGACCGAAUCUUGCUCGUGACCAUAAUAUUUUAAACAUUGAGAUUGAAGUAGAUGCAACUUUUGUGCUUUAUUUUAUGCAGAACUCUACUAAUUGAAAUUUUGUGUCAUCUCCUUUGAUUGAUGAAUGCAGGACGCUUCUCCGUUCUAUGAGUUCUAGGCAUUGGAGACAUAUCUUUUUGGAAGGGAACAAGUGUAUGGAUGCUUUAGCUCGUUUGGGUAGUAAUUUUUAGUCUUCUUUGUCUUUAGAUGAACUCUCUCCUUUUAGUUUGUUUUAUGUUUGUUCUUAUCCCUGAUUGUUUACAUCACCUCCUUUUAGAUGAUGCUCAGGGGUAGUUAUGUAUCGAACCUUAUGCUAGUGUUUUAUUAAUAAAUCAUGUUCCUUUUCCAACAACAACAACAAAAAAAGAUAGCUACAUUUAAAAUAGGAAUUCAAAUAGUUAAUUUAAAAAUAAGAUUAAACAAUAAUUCAAAACUAGGAUAAUGAUAAUAACAAAUUUAUUUGAAUAUUUCAAAUCUUAAGACUAUAUUUUUAGUUUCUUGCAAGAUUAGUGGUUAGAGUAGUAAUUUUGAAUUGAUGAUGACAAAAACUUGCGGACAACUAAUGGAAACGAUGGAUUGAUGAUAACAAAAAAAUGCAAACAAUCCAUGGGAAAAAAAUGUGGAUUUUGUCGCUAAGAGCAAUGUAAUGGCAUGCUCUUAUUUUGAGUUACAAGAGUGAAGAAAUGAAUCAAGAAUAUUGUAAUUUUGAAGACUAUGCGGAUUGUAACAGAGUAUUAUGAGUUAUAAAGUUGUGGUUCGAUAUAGCCAAGAUAUGGUUUAAUAUCAAUUAGGCAAGACCCCUUAAACUACUAUCAAGAUAGUCAAGUACGAACCUUAUCACUUUAAACUAGUAUAUAUGAGUUGAUUGGGGUCGGUGAUACAAGAAAUCGAUUGACCUUGAUGAACAAAAAUUGACAUAAUUUUUGGCAAAACAGAUAAAUUAUUAGAGUAAGGUCAAAGACAUGCUUGAUUGAGCAAAGGGAUAAGAAAACUUUUGUACUUGUAAAAGAAAAAACCUUGCAUUUUGACUUAAAAACCACGAGACUAAUUAAUUAAGUUAACACUUCAAUUAUGAGCCCAUCAACCACAAGUAAAUUAUUUUUAGUUCCCCGAUUGAAUCUUAAUUCGAUUGGUAUGGGCAUUGUUGUCUAUGCAGGAGGACGUGAAUUCGAAUGUGCUGAAGCACAUUAUACUCCAAUUUAUGAGUUAGAGAGGGGUUAUGGAUAGUUUUAGGCCUUGUGUCAAAUAGAGCAGAUAUGAUUAGAACCUAUAAUGAGAUUAUUCAAAAAAAAAAUUUCUAAGUUUUUACAAAUACAAAACUCAUACUAAAUUUAAUGAAAUUUCUACAAGCCCGUUUAAUUUUAAUACUUCAUAUAUAUCAAAUAAUGAUACUCUCAAAAUCGAUAAAAAUACUUACAGUUAGGGGUGUGCAACUUUCGAGUAAAACCGAAUUAGUUCGGUUAAUCGGUCAGUUGACCGAAUUAAUUCGUUCAGGGGUCGGUUAAUAAUUUUUUGGAAGUUCGGCUAAUGAUUAAUUAGAUUUGAAAUCAGUUAAUUAACCAAAUUAACCGAAAAUUUAUAUUUUUAUAUACAUUUUACAUAUAUUAAAUUCAGCUAAUUCAGUUAAUUUGGUUAAUUCGGUUAAUUUUUUACAUGUUUUAUACUUGUUUUAACCAAAAAACAUAUGAAUUUCAGUUAAUUCGAUUAACCGACCGAAUUAACCGAAAUAGUUUGACUCAGUUAACGAUUAAGGGUUUAAAAGGGUUGGUUAAUUUCUAUUAAUGGUAGUUUGGGUCGGUUAAUAGAUUAAACACCCAUACUUACAGUAAUUAAAAAUUAAUAAAAAUAUAUCUUUGUUUAUCCAAAUUCAUUUCUAAAUUUAAAGGUUGUGUUUAGGCUCUCCUAAAUAUUAAAUAAAGGUCAAAAUUUUCUAUUAGACUUGUACUUUGCAUAAAUUAUAGAUUUAAUAUUUUUAUUUUAAUUUGGUCAUUUUCAAUUCUUUUACUUUUAGAAUUAGAAAAUUUUAGUCUUAAUCAAAUGAUAGUUAUUAAAUUCAUUAAGUUAAGUUUUGUUAUUUUUAAAUUUUGACGUGUCAAACAUAUUUUCGCAUGUAUAAUGCUAUGUUUGUAUUGUUAUUUUCACAUAUUAUUGACAAAAAAAUCAGUUAAUAGAUUUAACGACUGUAGUUUGUAUUAAGACUGAAAUUUUGAGAUUUUAAAAAUAUAGCCACUAAGAAUGAUCCAAUUGGUGAACAUGAACCAAAUCUAUAACUUCACACGUAAUAUGAGACUAAUGACAUAAUUUAACCAAACAAAUUUAGUUGUGUUAGGACUAAAAUUUCAAAAUUCGAAAUGUAUAGAGACUAAAAUUGAUCAGAUUAAAGUACAUGUACUAAAUAUACAACUUACACAAAGUAUAGGGUCUAAUAGCAAAAUUUAACCUUAAAUAAAUCUAUAAACCCAAAAAACUAAUAAAAAUAUUAUUAACAAAUGUACUUUGAUUUCAUUUGGCAAAUCAUUUGUCCUAAAGUUUUUAGCUUAGUUGAGAAGCUUCAUCAUUCGCUUUUUGAUUACUCCAAAACUAGUAUCAAUGGCUUUGGAUUUUUAUGAUCUUUUUUCUUGGUCAUCUACGAUAUGAUUGACAUGUUUUCUCAACUUCCAUAAGUGCAAAUAGCUUAUUGAAAUAAAAAAGGUUGCAAUGUCCUUAACUUUCUUCUGAUAUAUACCAUUGAUGAUAGCUUAAUAAUAAGCCCCAAAAAUGUUUGACCCUUUCUUAUUUCACGGACGACAUUGCAACUUAAUUAUAUAUAUGUGUAAAUUAAUUCACUGUAAAGCUAAGUAAUAAUGAAACCAAAGCAAACCAAGUUAAGUGGCUUAUGUGUCUCUCUCCAAACCUAGUUUAAAAGGUGAGACGACACUGUCUUUGCUGAUAAUGAUCCCAUCUCAUGAUCUCUUCUAUUGCAAAUUUAGUAGUAAUAAUAAAAGCUAUUUAUCUUAUCACCAACUUAGCUUUUUUCUUUUUUCUUCCCCCCCCCCCCCCCCCCCACAAUUGCAAAUGUAAAGGUUGCAUGCAUGUGAUUUGCUUUUUCUUUAUGGGUGGCAAAUGUUGGGCAAUGUUGGAUAUUAUUGCAUGCAUCCAAAACAAAAGGGUAGAUAAUCGAUAUGAACAUGAUAUGUUAAUAUAUACAAUAUACGAAAAAAAGAAAGAAAACAUAACAAGUCCAACAAGCAUAAUAUAAGAACAAGCAAAGUUUAUGUAUGUAGAUUGUAUAUUUAAUGCAUUACAAUGAUAAAAAAGAAUGGCGUAGUGAUAGUGCAAAUUCAGUGGUCCUUUGCACUGAAAGGCAUGCAUGGACCCUAGGAAUCAGUGUUGGUGGCUAAUUUUGAGAGCUUCCAGCUUUUCUGCUGCAGCUUAUCAAGUUGGCCUAAUCCUAUACGCUAUAACGCUCAAGGUUGCUAAUUUUGCUUGUGUAAACACAGUACUUUCGUGGUCCCAGCAUUUGCCUUAGCUCAUUGAAUUGCACCCAAGCAAAAUAUAAGAAACAAGGCAAGGAUAUAUAAAUAUAUAUAUUGAUACAAAGGGUUGGUUGUAGCUGUUUGUGACAGUUUAUUCAUAGGGCAAAGAGUUGUAGGUGAAUUAAAGAAUUGGGAUGUUGGUGUCAAGAGAAGAUUAGAGGGAGAACAAGCGUAAAAAAGGGUUGAAGAUCUAAUUAGGAGAAGGUGUCUUGAUCUAUUUGCCAGGGGUUUGAAAGCUUUUAAGGAGGGGCUUUUUUCUAAUAGUUCUCUAAGUAUCAUAUGUCCUCAAAUUGGUUCUAAACUACCUCCAAGUUAGUUGAUCUAUUAACUUUUUUUGGUAUAAAUUAUCUUAAGCAGGUGUUAAUGUCUAGACUAUCAUAUUUAGAGAAUGAAUAUAUGUGACCCACGAAAUCAAAGACAUGAGGUAAGAUUUACAUCAAUAUAUGCAAAUGGAGCAAUUUUAGAAGAGGCCCUACAUUAUGAACUCUUGUGACUCUACAAAGACAAUUUUCUAUGUAUUUGUAGUCCAUAGAUAUUUAUGUUAUUCAUAGUUGAAAUAAGCUUAAUAUAAAUAUUUUUAUGGUAUAAAUACAAAUAACUUAAGGAAGUGUAAAUAAACAUAGGAAUCAGCAGAAUAUGGUACUGAACUUACUUUCCGUUUUUAUCCCAUGGGGGACUCAUUAAUUUAAGGUGCUAUAGCCUUAGCUUUGGCCUUGGGUUUUUUUUUUCUGGUCUGUGGUUAAGCGCUUAUACAUUUAUAUAUCUCACAUCCAACACAUGACAUGACCAGCUUUAAAGCAAAGUAAUAAAAAGAAAAGAAAAAGAUAUUUAUGCAAAGCAAUUGAAGCUUAUAUUUUUUCAUAUAUUUGGGGGUUUUCUUUUCUUUUCUUUUCUCUGCUGAUAAACUUCAUUUUUGUCUCUCUCCAGUCUCCACGUAGCAUCUUACACAAUACAUCUCCUUUAAUUCUCCACCUAAAACCCUUUUUGCCUUUUUAUUCUUAUUUUAAUUUGUAUGUAGCAUUAAAAGAAGUUUCCUAUUAAAGGAAAAAUAUUAAUCAAUGUUUAGUAAUGCCAAUUAAAGUAAUGUAUUAAUAUUUUUUUAAUAAUGUAUUAAAUUUCAUUAAUGGGUGUUUAUAGAUUUUGGUUAAAAUAAAUUCUCGUUUUUAAAUCUUAUAUAUGAAUAUUAUUGUCAAUGCAAGAAUAUGUGGAUUCGAAUGCGUUUAAGUACAUUAUUCUCUCAUUUAUGAGUUGGAGAAGAAGUAUGAAUAAUCCAGAACCUAUAAUAAAAUUGUUUAAAAAAACUGUUAAUGCAAUCCCACCUAAAAAAUACUCUAAUCAUUCAUUAAUCAAUUGUUAUAACUAUGUUAAUGUCUCGUGUAAUUUAGCAAAGAUUAGGGGUUGCAUAUCAAGUUUUAUGUAUAAAGUUUAAUCUAUUUUAUGUUACGUAAAUUCAAGUAACUACUAAGUCAAAUCAAUCCAAAAUAAAGUGUUUCAACUGAGGGAAAAAAUCCAAUCUUAAUUACAAUGCAAAAUUAAUUUCCAUAUCAAAAAAUUGCCAUUAACAGCACUAUCAAAUAUACCAAAACUCCUUUAUUUGAAUCUAGCUUGGCAAUCAUUGGUAUAUGUAACCAGAGUAAACCUGUUAAUGUUUUAUGAAAAAUUACAAGUUAGUCCAAUUCUUGAUAAUCAUAUUAACAAUUGAUUUUUGUUAAUUUCUUGUAUGUAAAUUGUCCAACUUUUCAUUUCAAUAAACAAUUUAACAAGGUUUAACAGAAUUAAACAAUUAGAUUAAUUAGUCAAUUUUUAUUGAAUACAAAAAUCAAAAUUUUGACAAAUCGAAAGGACUAAUUUACCAAUUUUAUAAAAUAAAAAUCAUACGAUGUUCCAAAAAUAAAAUGAGUUUGAUACAAAUAUAUGAAUGUCUUAAAAUUUAUAUAUAAUAUUUGAUAUUAAAAGAAAAGUGAUAGAUUGAUGUAGACUACAAAAGCCAUUCAUUUUAGCUUACGUAAAUGGGUAGACAAUUUCACUAUAUAAAGUAGAAUGUCAUUUUAUAGCGAUUAACAUAUAAUUUAGAAAAAAUAUUAACAAUUAAUAAAAUUAAUUAUAAUUGUAAUUAGUGGGAGCUGACCGUUGGCAUUGGCGUUUGCUUCUCUUUUUAUCAUUGGAUUCGGACUUAGUUUUGCGUCGGCAGCAACUGGCACUAUCCACUAUGACAUGAAAUGCCCGUUAUACCUUUCAGUUUUUAUAAUUUACCGAUCGUACCCCUAUACUACAAAACUAUAUGGCUGCCCCAAAUAUUAAGUGAUAAUAUUUACAACAAUGGCAUAAAUGCCAACAAACUUUGAUGAAAAUGUAAUACCUAAAAUUAAUUGUUUUCGAUAACUUUGUUUUAUGUAGUUAAAAAAAAAUAAGCUAUCAAAAUAGUCAUUUUUAUUUCCCUCGACUUAUAUUUUAGUCACUUGUGUUUGAAAUGUUAUGUUUUAGUCACUUAUGUUAACGUGCUAUAACAUUUUAAUCACUGAGCCGCUAAAACGAAAAACAUUCUCAAAAUAAAAAAAAUAUAAGGACUGAUUAUAUAAUUUAACCUAAAAUUUUUAUUUGAAAUGACGAUUUAACAUGUCACGUCAGCUUACCAUUACACCGUUAACGACAAUUAACACUUAGUGACUAAAAUGUUAUAAUACGAUACUGUAAGUAAUUAAAACAUAACAUUUCAAACAUAAGUGACUAAAAUGUAAUUCGAAGGAGACAAAAAUGACUAUUUUGAUAGUUUACUAAAAAAAAAAAAGAAAAAUAAUGGAUCAUACCAAAUUUAAUAUUUUUUGAGAGGCAUAUAUUUCACAUUGAUUUCAACAUUUCUUCAAAUAGACUUCAAAGAAAAAGGAUGUCGAAUAUAUGUUAUAAUUGGAAAGUUAAGAAAUAAUUGGGUAAAAAAAGGAUAUUAUCGAGAAAAAGAAAAUAAUAAUAUAAGCCAUCAAAAUGAAAAUGACACAACGUAACACCUAAUAUCCAAUAAUUCAAAAAUGUUGAAAUGCAUUUUUCAUUUCAAACUCAAACCUGCAGCAUUAUGUAUUCGUUAUUUCCUUUUCUUUUCUUUUUUUUGAAAAUAUUAUUACAAUUAAUGAUUUAUGAAUGUAAAAUAAAAAAAUGCAUAUUACAAUUUUUGGCCUAUAAUCCCGCAGCCAUUAAUUAAUUAAUUAUUUUAAAUAAUCUUAUAUUUUAAAAUUUUCCAGUUUGACCCACGCCAGAAGCUAGAAUUUUCGCCAAAACUAAAAUUGGAAAGGGUAUUUAUGUCAUAACAAUGACUUUUUAUUUACUGUUCUCUUGACUCGAAAGUCAAAACAAACACAUUUGUUCUCGCUAAUGCAUUGAUUAUUUAAAUUAAGCAUUAAUUAAAUUUAAAAGAGCUCGUCCUUACAUUUUUUUUGAAUUAUUUAUUGUUCAUUUUUCUUUAAAAUAAAAUGUGAAAUCCCUUUCCACUAAACACUGUUACAACUUACAUAUAGAAUGUGAAAAAAAAAAAAAAAAGUGAAAGAACUCUUCUACUUCAGAUCCACUCUCUUACAAUGCUUCCUUGUUUCUAAGUUCUUGACUCGGUCUCUGACUCAGUACUUGCCGCAUUACCAGCUCCUUUCCGUUAGCUGAACUCAACGUGUAGACUGGUACAAUAGGCUUGUUUUCCCGCGCGUGUCAGCACAUUUUGACCUUUUUUUAUGCAUUUGGUCGAGUGAUCGAAUAAAUGGCGUGUUUUCGGCGAAUUAUUCCGGAGCUCCGGUGAGAGUUCGCGGUUUUCGGAGAUUUUUGUGAAAGAGAUGUUUAAGUCGGCGAGAUGGAGGAGCGACAGGAACAAGAUAAAAGCGGUCUUCAAGUUGCAGUUCCAUGCAACUCAAGUAAUCUCAUUCUUUCAAUUUAUUUUUAGAAAUUCAAUUAAUUGAAUAAUUCCUGAAAGUUCUAUUUACUUUUGUUUAUUUAUUAGCUCCAUCGCUCAGCAAAUGCAGCUCAAACAGCGAACAGAGUUUGAUUGGAUUGUUUCUGAAACUACUUUAGCUAGCUUGAUUGGCUAAAAAUGAUCAUCUUUUAAAAGUUGUUUUUAAAACAAUUAAUAAUUACUUUGUUUCGUAAUGUGAUUGCAUAAUUUGAGAAAAUGUUGAAAUAUUAAUUAUGUUCUGUAUAAUUUAGGUGACGGAGUUAAGUGUACAAACACUGAUGAUAUCGGUGGUUCCCGGCGACGGAGGAAAACCGACAACAAAAUUAGAAAAGGCGACAAUUCUGGACGAUAUCUGUCGAUGGGAAAAACCAGUAUACGAGUCCGUUAAAUUUGUUCGAGAGCCAAAAACUGGGAAGAUCAACGAAAGAAUCUAUCAUUUUAUUUUAUCAUCAGUAAGAUACUUUUGAUUAAUGUGUUUUUUUUUUCUUUAAUUGUUAUAUAAUUAACAUUUUAUAUGUUUGUUGUAGGGAUUGGGAAAAGGAGGUUUGAUUGGGGAAGCUUCAAUUGAUUUUUCUGCUUAUGCAGAGGCAAUUAAAACUUCAACCGUUUCUCUUCCAUUGAAGAAUUCAAAUUCCAAAGCAAUUUUACAUGUUAGUAUAGUUUCAGUCUCUCUAUUUCUCUCUCAUAUUUAUAUGUGUCACGUAUUACUUCCUCUGGUAGGCUUUUUCUUUAAAUCUUUCCUCAUAAACAUGGUGAUUCACUUUUUAAAAUAUGAAUUCAAGCUGUGUUGGUUUUGAACAGGUUUCAAUACAGAGGGUGCAGGAAAAUGCUGAUCAAAGGUAAAGAAUGGUCACUUUUUAUUGAAUUCUUCUUGUAAUUGGAGUUUGUUUCUGGAAUGCUGUAGUGUUUGCUUGUGAGUUUGAUUUUAUUGGGAUUGUUUUUUCAGAGAAGUGGAAGAUAUUGAAGAUGCAAGUAUUAAAUCACAAGGUAGAAGCUUGAAGGCCCACUUGAGUAAUGGUGAAGCAGAUGAAAGCAUUAAGAACGCUUCAAUUGAAGUAUGUUCCUAUUCCAUUUAGUGAAAGUGUUCAUUUUGGGUUUGCUUAUUGCUGUUUUGUUCAAUAUUCAGACCAUUUUCUUCUUCUCUUAACAUUUUUUGUAUCCUAAUAUGUGCUUAAUAUAAUUGGUGAUUGAGAAUGGAUAUGCAUGUUUUACUUAUUUGUUUGUUUGUUAUCUAUCUGAUAGGAUGUGCCUUUCAGCAAAACCCCCCACAAUGAUGAAAUGCAUGAGAACCAUAGAGGAUCUAAUGGAUCUGAUACUACCAUUUCAAGUUCUGAUAGUAGCUCUGGACUUGAUACUCCACGGGAACUUGGAAAUGGAAUAAGGAAUGACAGCAUCCAUCAGGACCCUCCUUAUCUGC